UCAAAAAAUAACCCACUUUCAUACCAAAACACACUUAAACCAACAUAAAACUGUGUUUUUUCUGAGUUUUUCUUAGCGGAAGUUGGUUUUUGCUAAUAAAAGUGAGUUUUAUGUGCGCUAAACUGUGCUUAACUGAGUUUAAAGUUGGUUAUUUUAAGAAGAUGUGUGUUUAAGCGAGUUUUUUUCAGUAAGAAGUCGGUUUUUUGUGUGUCAAAAGUGAGCCUUUUUAUUUAUGAGUUGGUUUAUGUGUGUUUAAGUGUGUCUUUUUGUUUUAUAAGCGUGUCUUUUACAACAGAAGUUGGUCUUUUUUUAAACAGAAGUGGGUUUAAGCGAGUUUAACUUGGUCUUUUUGUAAAUAAGUUGAGAGCUGCAACGAGGCUUAAAGACUCACUUUAACACACUUUUCAACAAGUUGGUCUUUUGUUUAUUAAUAUAACUCAUCAAUGAAACAAUAAUUCUUCAACUGGGUCUUUGUUUGAUGUUUAUAGCCAUAAAUAAAACAAGUCAAUUGUAAAGGGGCUUUUUUUACAGCUUGUUUGCCAUUGUCCCUAUUGUACAUUUGUGUGCUCCCCAUAAUUUUUAGGGAAUAUUGGAUGAAAAUGGCUCUUUCAGAACAUCACAGGUUCACAGAUGGACAACAAGUAUCACUGACAAAAACUAACAAUGGUCAAGCUUAGUUUUAUACAUGAAAAUGAAAGAGUUUGUGUUUCACUUUGAAUUUUUUCUUUAUGUUUGUUUUUAUUAUAAACAAUAUCUUAUGAUUGUUUUAUGUCUUAAUUUUUUAUUUUUUUUUAAACAAUCUCAUAUGAUUGUUUAUAUUUGUUUAAAACAGUAUUUACUUGUAAAAUCUGCAUAUUUAAAUAAUUAUGGUAUUGGAAACAUUAUUUUGGAAAUAAUCUAUUUAUUUUUGUACAUAAGUUAUGCAAGAUUUUGAUAUUUGCAUAUGAUACCAUCAUAUCCAUUUUCUUAAUUUGGAAUAAAAUAAUAAAAUGCCAAACAUUACCUGUGUUACAUAAACUGUCAACAAAAUAACAAGACAAUACCUUAAAACACCCUUAUUUCACACCACUAACAAUAAACAGUUAACAAUCUGUCAGGCAUUCAGAGCUAAACAGGGUACUGAUUAUCUAGGGGUAGAUAAGGCUACUGAUGGGGUCCUAGAGAUAAGGCUGUGUGGAAUAAGAUAUAAGGCUUUUGAUUGGCUAUUGCACUGAGGAAGUUAUCUUUUUGAAAACAACAACUUUUGAAAAACAAGCUGGUGUCAGCAACUGAAUAUUGAGCUAAAUUUAAUUCAGCAACAUUAAUAUAAAGAAGUGAAAGACUUAUAAUGGUAGUGUAAAAUGUCUUGAAAUUCUGUCAGCAUGAAGUAUUGUGUGAUGAAAACAAUGUGUUUUUUACUGCAAUGUGGAAAUCAAUAAUAAGUUGGUUGGAAAGGAGGUUGAACUGCCUGUUGUUGUUUUUGGAAUACUGAAGAACAGUUUUAACAGGUUAAACUCUUGCCACAAGGCAAAAUUGACAUCGUUGGGAAGAUCCUUUGGAAAAAAUGUGCAUCAUCGCCUGCCUGAUGUAUGGACUUUUAAACCUGGUUUUUACCCUGCACAAGCUGGCAAACUUGAGGGGAACAAGAGUGGGAAAACCUCGCCCUGUCCUUGACCAAGAAAGCUCGAUUUGUUGAGAGAUCAACUGGCAUAAGAGAUGCUCAAGAGGAGAAGGACACAAGCAGCAUCAAUGGAACAACUACAUGUCGCUCCAGCGCCCGCUUUCCAGGUCUCUACCAGCUGCUUUCCAGGUCCCUCCACCCGCCAAGAUCAGGUCUAGGUCCCUGCACUGGCUGCUUUCCAGGUCCCCUAGCGGUCAAGGUCUCUCCAGUAGCUGCUGUGCAGGUCCCAACACCGUAUGCCGUCAAGGUCCCUCCUUAAGCUGAAAUCCAGGUUCCUCAUUCCACUGCGGUUCAGGUACCUCCAACAGCUGAGAUCCAGGUCUCUGCAGCAGCUGCGGUCUAAAUACUCCACCCGCAGUGGUCCAUUGCGGUCAAACUUUUGCUUUAAAAUCUUCCAUAAAUGUCUAUUAUUUUAUAAUGUAUUGUAAAAAUAAUCUGUUAGUAUUAAUUUGCGGUGUACUAUUUUUGUCAUAUAAACAUAAUUUUCGUA